GGCAGUGCCGGUGACAUAUCAAUUAGAUGUCCGCCCCAUCAAUUGUUGACGGUAAGGUAGUGGCUUACCGUGGUUACAACGGGUAACGGGGAAUCAGGGUUCGAUUCCGGAGAGGGAGCAUGAGAAAUGGCUGCCAGAUCUAUGGAUUGCAGCAGGUGCGAAAAUUAUCCACUUUUGGCAUAAAGAGAUAGUGAUGAUAAAUAACGGAUCUGGGCAUUUGUUCAGAGAUCGUAAUGAAAUAAUCGUAAAAGCUUUAAUGAACGCAAUUGGAGGGCAAGUCUGGUGCCAGCAGCCGCGGCAAUUCCAGUUCCAAUAGUGUAUACUAAAGUUGCUGCAGUUGAAAAGCUCGUAGUUGGAUCUCGGCUUGCUAGCGCGCGAGGCGUGUGAGUAGGCCUUUGCUGUAGUUGAGUGCUACGGCUUUACCUUGAACAAAAUAGAGUGCUUAAGGCAAGCAUUCUGCUUGAAUAUCUCAGCAUGGAAUAAUAGAAAAAGACUUUUCUGUUGGUUUACCAGUAGUAAAAGUAAUGAUUAACAGAGACAGACGGGGGCAUUCGUAUCGCACCGCUAGAGGUGAAAUUCGUAGAUCGGUGCGGGACGAACUACAGCGAAAGCAUUUGCCAAGGAUGUUUUCAUUAAUCAAGAACGAAAGUUGGAGUAUCGAAGUCGAUUAGAUCUCGUCGUAGUUCCAACUAUAAACGAUGCCAACUAGCACUCCGCUAAUAAGUAUUAGUACGUUAGCGGGUUGCUUCCGGGAAACCAAAGUCUUUGGGCUCCGGGGGAAGUAUGGUUGCAAAGCUGAAACUUAAAGGAAUUGACGGAAGGGCACCACCAGGAGUGGAGCCUGCGGCUCAAUUUGACUCAACACAGAAAAACUCACCCGGGCCGAACACAGUAAGGAUUGACAGACUGAUAGCUUUUUCUUGAUACUGUGGGUAGUGGUGCAUGGCCGUUGUUGGUUGGUGGAGUGAUCUGUCUGGUUAAUUCCGAUAACGAACGAGACUCAGGCCUACUUACUAGUUGUUCGAUUGCUGGUCGAUCAACUUCUUAGAGGGAUCAGUGUUUAAAACACUUGAAAAUGAGCAAUAACAGGUCUGUGAUUGCCCUUAGACGUUCGGGGCUGCACGCGCGCUACAAUGGAGAAAGCAGUGGGUGUCUUGCUUGGCAAAGCAAGCUGAGCCUUAAAAUUUCUUCGUGACAGGGAUCGAGGCUUGUAAUUAUUCCUCGUGCACAAGGAAUUCCUAGUAAUCGCAGGUCAUUAGCCUGCAAUGAUUACGUCCCUGCCCUUUGUACACACCGCCCGUCGCUACUACCGAUGAAUGA
rnacentral:rRNA from 1 species